CACACACACACACACACACACACACACAAGCAUAUUGAUAUUGAAUCACCCACUGUAUGGUAAUAUGUUUCUAUUUGCGCCCAAUCAUUGGUGCAAAACAGUCACCUGAUAAGAAAGAAGUUUUUAAUCCAUAUUGUCAUCAAUGGAACUUCGCAACAUUCUAACAAGUCACAUAAUGACUGAGAACAAGCUAGCCUUCUAUUCAUAGGUUGAAUUCCUUAAAUCACAACUUUUUGACCCAAAGUAUAUUGGUCCAGGCCACCAAUAAAUCAUAAAAAUAUCCAGUAUAUUAUAUCAUGUCAAGAUGGAAAUAGUGCCCAUUUCAAAUGAACCAAGUGGUCGAACCUCACUGUCCAUCCUACAUAAAACCCACUGAGAGCAAUGAAGAAACUGUCGUUGUUGAUAUCCUGAUAAGAGAAUGCUGGAGUUAUCACCAUGCACAUUACCAGGACUUGCAGAAAUGGAGUCAACCCUGAAAGAAAUCAGGUGGAAAACCGAAUACGAAUCUCAGGAUAAAUCCUUUCUGUUGGCAGGAGCUGGAAGGAGGAGAAGAAGGAAGAGAGGAAAAAAAGAAGAAGGAAGAGGAGAGUUUUGGAAGAAAUGGUGUGGCUCUUUGAUGAUUUGUUUGUGUUAUCCCAUGUAAACACAAUACUACAGGAUUAUUCAAGAUGUCAGAACUAGCCACGUCCAGGGCAGGUUUAAGGACUAUAGGACGAAACACUGUCCCUAAACUACACCCCUCCUCCUCUGAGUGCUGCCUGAAAUCCUGCCACCUGCUGCAGAUGAGAUUCAUGUCAAGGACAAUUCCACCGAUCAUCCAAAAGAAUGAAGAGACUCUUUCAUCAAGGGCUAAGAAAUUAUCCUAAGAAUUUAAACUACUCUGAGAUCACUGGUAAAAAUCCCAAUUUUUGUUUCAUAAAAAUACAGGGGAAAUUGUGUACUUGAGCUUUCUGGGCAUUUGUUUGUAAUAAAUUGAAGCAUUUAGUAACUUUAAGGUGAAAUGCCUGUACGUGCAGGCUGAUGUACUGUGUGACCUAUUUAUAUUUAAAAGCAGAAUAUGAUAUAAAAUAUUUAGCUUUUAAGA